CGUCCCUGAAGAGGUGCCGGCUUCCACCCUCACUGGUGACCAGCUGGGUUUCCUCCUAGUUCUCCUGCUGCUGUGGCGAUCCAGCGUGUACUUUGAGUACCACGGGGGAUUUGUGAACAUGCAGAAUGCAAACGUCGUAUGCCACAUCUUACAUCUGUACUGCGGAGAAAGUGGGCGGUUAGACCUGCAAUAUUGUAAACAGUUUUCAGAUUUGGCUUGGGAUUGAACUCAGCGUUUCCAAGGCAACUGUUCUACCGACCGAGCGUCUCCCCCGGUUCCAUUGACUGAUCAAUUUCUCAACAACAGAAUAUCUCAGUUCAGUUGAUUUGUGAACAACACUCACAAUGAUUCUUACCAUACAGGUAAAGUUUCCCUGAUGGUAAGUGUCCUGAGAACCCGGACUUUAUUCCAUCUCUGGUGGACUAAGCCAGCCUGGGCUUCCGUGAUGGCAUCUAUGGCUCUAAACCAGGCAGCUGGUUGGGUCAGUCACUUGGAUUUCAGGUGUGCAAAGUUUGAUGCAUGCCAUUGGACAGGGAACUCCACCCCAUGCCAAACCAAAGGCUAUGGGAAACCUCCUCAAUUAGGCUUUGAUUUCGGGGAGCAGUAGUGAACCCCCGAGAACUAGAAACACGGUUCAUUUUACAACAGGGUCAGCUUUAAGCCCAGAGGAGACUGGAUAUUUGAGGAGCCAUCAGUUCCUCUCCGUGCAGAGACAAAUUGCCAACUCAACAAAAUGGAAGUGCAUUCGUUCAGGUAAUGAAGGUGAUCUCUUUUUUGAAAUGGACACUGUGGAAAUUUCCUUCUAUUUUAGACACAAAAGCUCCGAGUCCAGAGAAUUAUGAAGACAGUGCUGAGAGUGUACUCUGCGCGCAAUAAUCAAUGAUGUUUCCUAAGUAGAUGACACCGCUCCAUUCACAGCCCAGACCGCUAGAGGGGA